rnacentral:rRNA from 1 species
CAGUCGAACGGUAACAGCACUUCGGUGGCUGACGAGUGGCGCACGGGUGCGUAACGCGUAUACAAUCUACCUUUUACAGGGGAAUAGCCCAGAGAAAUUUGGAUUAAUACCCCAUAGUAUUAUUAAUUGGCAUCGGUUGAUAAUUAAAGAUUCAUCGGUAAAAGAUGAGUAUGCGUUCUAUUAGCUAGUAGGUGUGGUAACGGCACACCUAGGCAACGAUAGAUAGGGGCCCUGAGAGGGGGAUCCCCCACACUGGUACUGAGACACGGACCAGACUCCUACGGGAGGCAGCAGUGAGGAAUAUUGGACAAUGGGCGAGAGCCUGAUCCAGCCAUGCCGCGUGCAGGAAGACUGCCCUAUGGGUUGUAAACUGCUUUUAUACGGGAAGAAACACCCCUUCGUGAAGGGGCUUGACGGUACCGUAAGAAUAAGGAUCGGCUAACUCCGUGCCAGCAGCCGCGGUAAUACGGAGGAUCCAAGCGUUAUCCGGAAUCAUUGGGUUUAAAGGGUCCGUAGGUGGACGGUUAAGUCAGAGGUGAAAUCCUGCAGCUCAACUGUAGAAUUGCCUUUGAUACUGGCCGUCUUGAAUCAAUGUGAAGUGGUUAGAAUAUGUAGUGUAGCGGUGAAAUGCAUAGAUAUUACAUAGAAUACCGAUUGCGAAGGCAGAUCACUAACAUUGUAUUGACACUGAUGGACGAAAGCGUGGGGAGCGAACAGGAUUAGAUACCCUGGUAGUCCACGCCGUAAACGAUGGUUACUAGCUGUCCGGACUUCGGUCUGGGUGGCUAAGCGAAAGUGAUAAGUAACCCACCU